ACAUCGCAGGUAAUUUCCCUUGCUAAAUUUCCCUGCUUUAAAUACAGCUCAUUUUACAGCUCUUUAUUUCCCCUGUGUCGUGGUUUGAAGGGAAGUGAGUUUUUUUGGAAGUAGUGGUCAAACUAAUCAGUCCUUAGGUCUGAGUAUUGGCACCUUUGUUGGCCACUAAGAGGUUGGACACGCCUCUGAGGACACGAGGGGUUAAAAGCCGGAUUUCCCAGCAGGACUCCCUUUUUUUCCCUGCUCUGCUUUCGGAGAGGGAGCGUCUUCUCCUCUCCCCUGCCCAGGCCUGGCUAGGCCGGGUGGGGGAGGGGAGCAAGGUGGGCCUGGCUGAGCAAGAGAGAAGGUGCCGAGCUGGAGCUGCUUGUGAGAGCUGCAGUGCCUGCGAUCGCCUGUGCCUGACCUUGGUGGUGGGAGAUAAAAGCUUUUAACUCUUUCUAAGGCAGAAGAGAGUUAUCCCUGGAUGCUGAAUUCUCAUAGUUGGUGGUUUUAGAAGAGAGAGGACAGCCUGGGACCGAGAGGGUAAUGUGAGAUGAAAAGAAGCCCCUUCGAUUGCCGGAAUGAAGAGGAGUGGCCUAUGAGGCUGGACUUUUCUUGCAUAAUGAUAGCCAUAGACGGACCCUGGACCCUCCUGACUAUAAAUAAGACUGUGUUUGGGUGGAUGUUUUUGGCUCAAACCCAGAGACGUUCUGGCCUGCUUCUUGGAGCCCCCGGCCCCAGGGGUAAAUGGGGGGGACCUGAGUCCCAAAAUGAGAAGAUGGCUGGUUUUUGGUACUUGGCCAAAACAUCCUUAAAAAGAGCCCUGUUGCAGUUCAGGUCCAUGGACGGCAGUGAGAGUGCUGGACAUGGAAAGGAGGGUGUCACCCUGGCAGACUCUUCGAGGCAGUGCCAUGGGUGACGUGGGAACACGGGAUGGUGGACCUGUGUUUCCUGUGGGGGGAUGGUCUGUGGUGCGAGAGAGACUCCUCUCGUCCUGGAUGGAAUGUGGAUUGUCUGAAUUUUAAAGGAUGAUGAUUUGGAUUAGGAACCCAGGGUUGUUGAGGGAUUAAGCAAGUAGAUGAAGGUAAUGUGCUGGAGUCAACUGAGUGAGCAUGUAUGGAAUGGAAAUUGGGGGGAGGAGAAGCAGUGUUUUUGGGAGGUUUUCUCUUCUGCUUUUGGGUGGCUGGGUUUUUCUUUCCUUUUCUAUUGUCCAUUGUUAUGUAGUAUAAUAAAUUGUCUGUCUGUUUCAAGUA